GACGGGACCCGCACAAGCGGUGGAUGAUGUGGAUUAAUCGAUGCAACGCGAAAAACCUUUACCUACCCUUGACAUGUCCGGAAUCCCGAAGAGAUUUGGGAGUGCUCGCAAGAGAGCCGGAACACAGGUGCUGCAUGGCUGUCGUCAGCUCGUGUCGUGAGAUGUUGGGUUAAGUCCCGCAACGAGCGCAACCCUUGUCAUUAGUUGCCAUCAUUUGGUUGGGCACUCUAAUGAGACUGCCGGUGACAAACCGGAGGAAGGUGGGGAUGACGUCAAGUCCUCAUGGCCCUUAUGGGUAGGGCUUCACACGUCAUACAAUGGUCGGUACAGAGGGUUGCCAACCCGCGAGGGGGAGCUAAUCCCACAAAGCCGAUCGUAGUCCGGAUCGCAGUCUGCAACUCGACUGCGUGAAGUCGGAAUCGCUAGUAAUCGUGGAUCAGCAUGUCACGGUGAAUACGUUCCCGGGUCUU
rnacentral:rRNA from 1 species